rnacentral:tRNA from 1 species
GGGGGUGUAGCUCAGUGGCAGAGCAUUUGCCUGGUGUGCAUUGAGUUUCAUCCCCA